UACGAGGGGGGCAAGCGUUGUCCGGAUUUACUGGGCGUAAAGAGCGCGCAGGCGGUUGAUUAAGUCGAAUGUGAAAGCCCCCGGCUCAACUGGGGAGGGUCAUUCGAUACUGAUUGACUUGAAGGCAGGAGAGAGAAGUGGAAUUCCCGGUGUAGUGGUGAAAUGCGUAGAUAUCGGGAGGAACACCGGUGGCGAAGGCGGCAUCCUGGACCAAUACUGACGCUGAGGAGCGAAAGCCAGGGGAGCAAACGGG
rnacentral:rRNA from 1 species